rnacentral:rRNA from 1 species
CUCCUAUCUACUAUCUAGCGAAACCACAGCCAAGGGAACGGGCUUGGCAGAAUCAGCGGGGAAAGAAGACCCUGUUGAGCUUGACUCUAGUCUGGCUCUGUGAAGAGACAUGAGAGGUGUAGCAUAAGUGGGAGGCUCGGCCAACGGUGAAAUACCACUACUUUCAUCGUUUCUUUACUUACUCGGUGAGGCGGGAAGCGAGCGUUCCAGCGCUCACGCUUCUAGCGCCAAGCCCGGGGACUCUGUUUUCCCCGGGCGACCCGCUCCGAGGACACUGUCAGGCGGGGAGUUUGACUGGGGCGGUACAUCUGUCAAAAGGUAACGCAGGUGUCCUAAGGCGAGCUCAGCGAGGACAGAAACCUCGCGUGGAGCAAAAGGGCAAAUGCUGGCUUGAUCUCGAUUUUCAGUACGAAUACGGACCGCGAAAGCGUGGCCUAUCGAUCCUUUUGACUUUAGGAGUUUUAAGCAAGAGGUGUCAGAAAAGUUACCACAGGGAUAAC